ACUGGUGCACGACCUCCUGCCCCCCGAGGUCUGCAGUCUCCUGAACCCAGCAGCCAUCUACACCAACAACGAGAUCAGCCUGCGUGACGUUGAGGUCUAUGGCUUUGACUACGACUACACUCUGGCCCAGUAUGCAGAUGCACUGCACCCCGAGAUCUUCAGCGCCGCCCGUGACAUCCUGAUCGAGCACUACAAGUACCCCGGGGGGAUUCGAAAGUAUGACUACAACCCCAGCUUUGCCAUCCGUGGCCUCCACUAUGACAUUCAGAAGAGCCUUCUGAUAAAGAUUGACUCCUUCCACUACGUGCAGCUGGGAACAGCCUACAGGGGCCUCCAGCCUGUGCCAGACGAGGAAGUGAUCGAGCUGUAUGGGGGCACUCAGCACAUCCCAUUAUACCAAAUGAGUGGCUUCUAUGGCAAGGGUCCCUCCAUUAAGCAGUUCAUGGACAUCUUCUCGCUGCCGGAGAUGGCUCUGCUGUCUUGCGUGGUGGACUACUUCCUGGGCCACAGCCUGGAGUUUGACCAAGCGCACCUCUACAAGGACGUGAUGGACGCCAUCCCAGACGUGCAUGUGAAGGGCCUCAUGUAAUAGUGGAUCCAGCAGGACAUGGAGAAGUACAUCCUGAGAGGGGACGAGACGUUUGCCGUCCUGAGUCGCCUGGUGGCCCAUGGGAAACAGCUGUUCCUCAUCACCAACAGUCCUUUCAGCUUCGUAGACUAAGGGAUGCGGCACACGGUGGGUCCCGAUUGGCGCCAGCUCUUCGAUGUGGUCAUUGUCCAGGCAGACAAGCCCAGCUUUUUCACUGACCGGCGCAAGCCUUUCAGAAAACUCGAUGAGAAGGGCUCGCUUCAGUGGGACCGGAUCACCCGCUUGGAAAAGGGCAAGAUCUAUCGGCAGGGAAACCUGUUUGACUUCCUUCGCUUGACGGAAUGGCGUGGCCCCCGCGUGCUCUACUUCGGGGACCACCUCUAUAGUGACCUGGUGGAUCUCAUGCUGCGGCACGGUUGGCGCACGGGCGCCUUCAUCCCUGAGCUGGAGCGUGAGAUCCGCAUCAUCAACACAGAGCAGUACAUGCACUGGCUGACGUGGCAGCAAGCACUCAGGGGGCUGCUGGAGCGCAUGCAGACCUAUCAGGACGCGGAGUCCAGGCAGGUGCUAGCUGUCCGGAUGAAAGAACGGCAGGAGCUGAGGUGCGUCACCAAGGCCAUGUUCAGCGCGCAGUUCGGCAGCAUCUUCCUUACCUUCCACAACCCCACCUACUUCUUGAGAUGCCUCGUGCACUUCUCUGACCUCUACAUGGCCUCCCUCAGCUGCCUGCUCAACUACCGUGUGGACUUCACCGUCUACCCGCGCCCCACCCCGCUGCAGCAUGAGGCGCCCCUCUGGAUGGACCAGCUCUGCACCAGCUGCAUGAAGAUGCCCUUCCUUGGCUACAUGGCCCACAUCCGCUGAGGGCGCCUUUAUUGUCCGGGACAGGCCCCCAGCCCCUCCUGCCCUGUCCACCCUGGGCAUCCACCCGGACAAGCAAUAAAAGUGCUCUCCUCCC